UUCCGGUUGAUCCUGCCGGAGGUCAUUGCUAUUGGGGUCCGAUUUAGCCAUGCUAGUUGCACGAGUUCACACUCGUGGCGAAAAGCUCAGUAACACGUGGCCAAACUACCCUACAGAGAACGAUAACCUCGGGAAACUGAGGCUAAUAGUUCAUACGGGAGUCAUGCUUGAAUGCCGACUCCCCGAAACGCUCAGGCGCUGUAGGAUGUGGCUGCGGCCGAUUAGGUAGACGGUGGGGUAACGGCCCACCGUGCCGAUAAUCGGUACGGGUUGUGAGAGCAAGAACCCGGAGACGGAAUCUGAGACAAGAUUCCGGGCCCUACGGGGCGCAGCAGGCGCGAAACCUUUACACUGCACGCAAGUGCGAUAAGGGGACCCCAAGUGCGAGGGCAUAUAGUCCUCGCUUUUCUCGACUGUAAGGCGGUCGAGGAAUAAGAGCUGGGCAAGACCGGUGCCAGCCGCCGCGGUAAUACCGGCAGCUCAAGUGAUGACCGAUAUUAUUGGGCCUAAAGCGUCCGUAGCCGGGCCACGAAGGUUCAUCGGGAAACCGCCAGCUUAACUGGCGGGGCGGUCGGUGAAAACCACCGUGGCUUGGGGACGGAAGGCUCCAGGGGUACGCCCGGGGGAAAGGAGUGAAUUCCUGAAAUCCUGGACGGGACCAGUCCUAGCUGUAAACGAUGCUCGGCUAGGUGUGACACAGGCUACGAGCCCUGUGUUGUGCCGUAGGGAAGCCGAGAAGCGAGCCGCCUGGGAAGUACGUCCGCAAGGGAUGAAACUUAAAGGAAUUGGCGGGGGAGCACUACAACCGGAGGAGCCUGCGGUUUAAUUGGACUCAACGCCGGACAUCUCACCAGCUCCGACUAUAGUAAUGACGGUCAGGUUGAUGACCUUACCACGACGCUAUAGAGAGGAGGUGCAUGGCCGCCGUCAGCUCGUACCGUGAGGCGUCCUGUUAAGUCAGGCAACGAGCGAGACCCGCACUUCUAAUUGCCAGCAGCAGUUUCGACUGGCUGGGUACAUUAGAAGGACUGCCGCUGCUAAAGCGGAGGAAGGAACGGGCAACGGUAGGUCAGUAUGCCCCGAAUGAGCUGGGCUACACGCGGGCUACAAUGGUCGAGACAAUGGGUUGCUAUCUCGAAAGAGAACGCUAAUCUCCUAAACUCGAUCGUAGUUCGGAUUGAGGGCUGAAACUCGCCCUCAUGAAGCUGGAUUCGGUAGUAAUCGCAUUUCAAUAGAGUGCGGUGAAUACGUCCCUGCUCCUUGCACACACCGCCCGUCAAAGCACCCGAGUGAGGUCCGG
rnacentral:rRNA from 1 species